GGGGAUAAGCGCUGUAAGCUUCUGCUGGGGAUAGGAAUUUUGGUGCUCCUGAUCACAGUGAUUCUGGGGGUGCCCUUGAUUAUCUUCACCAUCAAGGCCAACAGCGAGGCCUGCCGGGAUGGCCUCCGGGCAGUGAUGGAGUGUCGCAAUGUCACCCAUCUCCUGCAACAAGAGCUGACCGAGGCCCAGAAGGGCUUUCAGGAUACGGAGGCCCAGGUCACCACCUGCAACCAGACUGUGGAGAGAUCACUAUAUUGAACCAUAAGCUUCAGGACGCGUCUGCGGAGGUGGAGCGACUGAGAAGAGAAAACCAGGUCUUAAGCGUGAGAAUCGCA
rnacentral:sRNA from 1 species